UGUAAUUCUGAGGCAGGUCAGAGCCAGGGUGCAUGUCCUCCACAAGGGUCCCUCUUUGCAUCCCCCCACUGUGCAUUCAUAUUCACAAGUGGGUUCAUGAACUCAGAUAAUCCAGACCCAGGCACGCCUGGGACCUUUCCUUCCUGUGUUACAGGCCAAGUGCUGCUACGGAAGCAGAGGCACCGGCGUCCUAUUGCCAGGGAAUCUUUCUCCUCAGCUGGGGUAGAUGCUGGUUGAAGCGGUCACCACAGCUGCUCACCUGGUAAGGCAGAUUCAAAACUCCCCCUCCGUCUUCACAAAACCCAGUCCCAACUCCAGUGCUGGCUUUUGUGGCAAUGGUGCCAGCUCUCUGGCGGCUGCACAACCUGGGAUCCUGGGUCGACCAGGUCUGGGGUCCCCUCCUGUGCAGGGUCAGGGGCAUUCACAUGCUGCCACUGGCUCCACCCGAGUGCUAAGGUCCGAUGCGAUCUUCGAGCAGCGCAGUGAGCAUCAGUGGAUCUUUUGAGAAAGUCAUGGGAAGAAGACAUGGACCAAGGAGAGAGGAAGGGGAGAAAAAUCAGAACUACAGUGUGGUGAUGCAGGUGUGCCGAGUCUCCACAAUGAACACGAUUAUUAUCUACUGCAAAGAGAUACUGUUAAACAAGUUUUUAAAUUUUAAAUCAUCGAUAUUUUGGGACAGUUUCUUGUAGCUUUCCGACUCGUUUUAGGUUUUGCCGUGUGAAGUUUUAGAGCUGCUGGAGGCAGGAAAGACCCGGUCGUGGUGGUUUGAAAGGGUUGCCCGCGGGCUGUCUCUGGCUCCACACCCUCCUGCGCCGCGGACGCCUGGGGCAGGCGCCUGGGUCACGGAUGGAUGGCGUGAUUGCCCCAGGCCGCGCCCUGCUGUCCAUGGGGAAGCUGUCUCCACCCCGGAGGGCUGGCCGAGAGGAAGCACGGGUCUGGGAGCCAGUGACAUGCAGCUCACCCUGCCCUCCAAGCCCCCGAGACACUCAGGAGAAGCGAGGACCAGGAUGCCGGGCGAGGACAGCUUGGCCCGAACUGGAUGGAACUGGGCGUAAAAUAUUGCACAUGAUGUUAGGAGAUACGUGGCACGUGCGUGCGUACAUCCCUGCGCUCUCACGACACUUGGACGGAUAAUGCAGCUCUCGCGGGACUUGGACGGGACAACGUGAAUGCACCCCCACGCUAAAGCCUCGUGAGCCAACUGCGUCGGCUUGUGUCUUGUGCCAGGAUGAAAAAUGUUGAACAAAAAGUGAAAAUUAAAUCCAGAGAAAAAUGAAAGUCGACUUGGAAUGAUCGGAGGGGAAAGUUCCGAGGACAGAUGCAGGUAUCUUCCUGAAAGAGUUAAAGAUGUCAUACUGCAAAGACACAUGCACAUUCACGUUUAAGCAGCACAACUCACAAAAGCUAAAUCUUGGAAGCAGCCUGUGUAUCCAUCAUGAACGGAGAAAGAAAAUGUGGCAUUUAUAUACAGUGAAAUACUACUCUGCCGUAAAGAUGGAUAAACGUGAGUCAUCUGUAGGAAAAUGGAUGCACCUUGAGACGAUAUCGUUAAGUGAAAUAAAUCAGACACAGGAGCUUAAAUAUCACAUGGCUCCUCUUACUGAGAAACCCUUAAUAUAAAUAAAGAGGAAAAGGCAGAUGGUAGGA